rnacentral:rRNA from 1 species
UACGUAGGGGCCGAGCGUUGUCCGGAGUUAUUGGGCGUAAAGCGCGCGCAGGCGGCCUCGCGCGCCCGACGUGAAAGCCCCCGGCUUAACCGGGGAGAGUCGUUGGGGACGGCGGGGCUUGAGGGCGGGAGAGGUCGGUGGAAUUCCGGGUGUAGCGGUGGAAUGCGGUAGAGAUCCGGAAGAACACCAGUGGCGAAGGCGGUCUGCGUGGGACGGUGGGAUCCGCAAGGGUCCAAUAGCCGGACACUGAGGCGCGACAGCGUGGGAGCAACAGGAGUUAGAACCGGUGAGCCAG